rnacentral:rRNA from 1 species
UACGUAGGGUGCAAGCGUUAAUCGGAAUUACUGGGCGUAAAGCGUGCGCAGGCGGUUUUGUAAGUCAGAUGUGAAAUCCCCGGGCUUAACCUGGGAACUGCGUUUGAAACUACAAGGCUAGAGUGUGGCAGAGGGGGGUGGAAUUCCACGUGUAGCAGUGAAAUGCGUAGAGAUGUGGAGGAACACCGAUGGCGAAGGCAGCCCCCUGGGUUAACACUGACGCUCAGGCACGAAAGCGUGGGGAGCAAACAGA